rnacentral:tRNA from 2 species
GUCUCCGUAGUUAAAUGGAUAUAACAACGCUCUCCUAAAGCGUCAUUGCCAGUUCGAUUCUGGCCGGGGAUACCA